rnacentral:tmRNA from 1 species
GGGGGCGACAGGUUUCGACAGCAGGAUGGAAGGUUUGGAAGUGCGAGCCGAGGAUGGGGAACCCUCGUAAAUCCGGCCCUAAAACAAUAAUUGCCAACGAAGAUUUCGCACUGGCUGCUUAGUUAAGCAACCACGCUCCCCGGGGGCUCGGUCGUUGGAACCCGGAAGGGCGUCAAAAAGACGGCUGGAACCGCAGUAGAUUCUUCUGAUUGCGGUUCGAGACUCUAGAGAAGAAUAGAUGACCGGAAUCCUGUCCAUGGGAGUCCGAAACUCGAAAUACAAACACGGACUACGCUCGUAGCGCUGCCAAAUGGUCCCC